GUUAGUGGGUGAGGAGUUAGUGGGUGAGGAGUUGAAGGGAAGAGUGAAAAGGUGAGUUUUGAGGGCUUUUUUGAAUGAUUUCAGAUUGUUGGCAGAUCAAUACUUUUAAAAUCAGCUGGGACACAAGUAUUUACAUAAUGGGUGUCUUCAGUAUGUUUGAAGGACAAAAGGCAGUGGCAUUACAUUUGCAGUAAAGAUAACAAUCUCAGCAGUAUUAUCGAGAGCUUGAUGCCAGCAUGGGAAACAUUACAACUAUAUUAACGAGGGGAAUGUAGCCGUGGCUAUUUGAAAGCAGCCCUGAUUCUCUUGAAGGAAAAAGGGAAGUGCAUAAAAACCUAACACAUGAGUCAAGUUGAGACGUAGGAGACAUAUAUUUAUGUUUUUAUAAAAAAAAGACAGCACAGAGGAAGAGAGUCUCACAGCCUUUUAUCUGUAAACAGUUCAUGGAAACUAUUUUAAAAACGUAUUUAUAUCCGAAUGAACAUUAUACGUUACAGUUUUACAAUCUACCACAACAUUAACUUGUGUAAAUAAUUCAGAUUCUAGGAGAGAAACGCAGUAAUGGCUUAUGUGUGGCCUUUUAGCCUCGCUGCAUGUUUCCUAGCAGAGAUAACGUCAUAGUGAAAGUGCACUGAGCCGAAUGGACUCUUUGCUUUUAUACCGCAUGGACUUGUUUCUGUGAAUGAACUGAUGGAAACUGACAGGACUCGUUCUUCCUCUCCCUGACAGAUGAGUUGUUCCAGAAAGUUGCAGAGGAUUACAACAGCAAUGCCUUCCAGGAAAUGAAACCAGAGGAAACGAGCGUGGACUUGAGCCAGAAGAAGGACUCAUAUUUCUAUUCCUGUUGCCAUAACAACUGAGGAAGAGGAAGGGAAACGGACUUGUUCGCCUCACUUCCGGUUGGAUGAAAAACCUGGAUUUUAUGCUGGAUACAUUUGAUGGGAAACUCUGCUCUGGAGCUGGGAUCCAAGUCACAAAAUACCAAGUUGCACAAUAUGUUUUUCAAUAGGUUUCUUUUGUGCCAUUAAAAAAAAAAAAACUGACGGCUGAAAAACGUUAUGGAAGAAGAUCUGCCAGAGGCUGUUACUGGCUGUGAGGGAUGGAAACAACACAACACUUUACCCAGCGAUGUCCUUGUUCUUCCGUAGCUUCUUCUGGAUUGGACCACAGAAGUAAAAAAAGUGAUUGUUUGCAGUGCAGAGAUCGAGGAGGGCUUUUGUUCAGCUAUUUAACCUUGUUGUCUGUUAUUCCUGCACAACCUGACAGGAGUGGAGUGAAGCAAGCUGGAUCUGAAAAACCAAACACUCCAAUGUUCCCGUUUACAGAAGCCCUGAGAGGCCGAUGAGAAAAACUAAGUCUGGUGAGACAACUCUUGACAUCUGAUCUAAAUAUGUUUCUCUCUAUGACUAGAGGGAAGGUGGAGGAAAAUAAGGUUUUGCAGUAUUUAAGAUCCCUUUUUUAAAUGUAUUUUGGUUGGGGAAAAGGGUUUCUUAAAGUUACCAAAAAGGUUAUCAUCUUUGUAAAAGCAUAACCUCUUGUCCCCCCUAUCUAUCGUAACUUAUGAAACAAGGAAGAAAACGAUUUUGAUCAGACCUUAAAAGAAGUCUCACCAGUGCAUGAAUGAAAUGAUACGAAUGAUAUGAAUUUAUGCCUUACUACCCACAAAUUAAAUGUCCAACAUUUUGCAGAGCGCUGGCUCUUUAACGUUUACAAAAACAUUCUGGAUGUAUUGAUAACAAGCAGGGGUCACUCGUGGUACUGCAGAAAUAAAAAAACACUGCCGCACCUAAAAGCUUUUCCCGGUGAGACUGCCAUUAUAAAAGAGACGUCUAUAAGACUAUUGACAACGCAUAUAUUGAUGUCUGAAUAGCCCUCCAAGUCAUCCCAAUGUAACGUUUAUGGGAUGUACUGAAGUUGGUAAAAAAUGUGGUUAUGCACUUUCUUUCAAAUGAAUGGCCGCCAUCUUUGUAGUCCAGUUUCAUGUUCCUAUAAUACAUCCACAGUGACGACAACAUGUUUCUGGCACAUCAUCUUUUGCAGAAUAAGCUAUGAUUCUGAUUUCACUUGACGCCAAAAUCUCUGUAAUUCAACUGCAUGACCUGAGCAGACUGAAAGAACAUUUUAACGUUUGCUUUUCCACAUUUAAACUCUAAAAUUAUAUUUUGUCAUUUCAAAUGCAUAGAGCACAUAUGGAAACGUGACUGGCAAAUAUUCGUUCAGUCUGUUGCUUCAGUGACAUGUUCCUUUUUGAAGCUUUUAAGAAACACUUAAGUUCCCCUCCACUAUGGUGAAAAACUGCAGAUUUCACCAACAAGAGAAAAGCCGUUGUGGUUGAAUGUGGAAACAUGUCCUCUCGAUGUCCUCAGAACAAUCUGUACAGCUGUCUCACUUCAGGACUCUAAUUUAUUGCCUUUUUAAGUUAUGCUGCCUGGAAGACGUGGGGAAAUAAAAGAUAAUAUCUGUUUCCUCCGUGUCGCUGCUUUGACGUGUUGAUGUGUCAUUUGCUGGAAAUUAAAUGCACAAUAUUUUUUAUGGAGGGCGAUGUAAAGUCAUAUGUUCUGUGAAAUUAAAAGCUUGUUGAAAUAACUUUUUAAA